rnacentral:rRNA from 1 species
AGCAGCCGCGGUAAUUCCAGCUCCAAUAGCGUAUAUUAAAGUUGUUGCAGUUAAAAAGCUCGUAGUUGAAUUUCGGGGUCAGUAGGUCGGUCGUGCCACUGGUAUGAACUGGUUUUACUGAUUCCUCCCUCUUGAAGAACUGUAAUGCCAUUAAUUUGGUGUUGCAGGGAAUCAGGACUGUUACUUUGAAAAAAUUAGAGUGUUUAAAGCAGGCUUUAGCUUGAAUACAUUAGCAUGGAAUAAUGAAAUAGGACGUUUGAUCCUAUUUUGUUGGUUUCUAGGAUUGACGUAAUGAUUAAUAGGGAUAGUUGGGGGCAUUAGUAUUCAAUUGUCAGAGGUGAAAUUCUUGGAUUUAUUGAAGACUAACUACUGCGAAAGCAUUUGCCAAGGAUGUUUUCAUUAAUCAAGAACGAAAGUUAGGGGAUCGAAGACGAUCAGAUACCGUCGUAGUCUUAACCAUAAACUAUGCCGACUAGGGAUCGGAUGAUGUUAAUUUUUUAAUGASUCA